rnacentral:rRNA from 1 species
ACGAACGCUGGCGGCAGGCUUAAUACAUGCAAGUCGAGCGCCCCGCAAGGGGAGCGGCGCACGGGUGCGUAACGCGUGGGAACAUGCCCUUAGGUACGGAACAACGUCGGGAAACUGACGCUAAUACCGUAUAAUAUCUCUGGAUCAAAGAUUUAUCGCCUAAGGAUUGGCCCGCGUUAGAUUAGGUAGUUGGUGGGGUAAUGGCUCACCAAGCCGACGAUCUAUAGGGGGUCUGAGAGGAUGAUCCCCCACACUGGAACUGAGACACGGUCCAGACUCCUACGGGAGGCAGCAGUAAGGAAUAUUGGACAAUGGGCGAAAGCCUGAUCCAGCCAUGCCGCGUGAGUGAUGAAGGCCUUAGGGUUGUAAAGCUCUUUUAGAUGGGAAGAUAAUGACUGUACCAUCAGAAUAAGCCCCGGCUAAAUUCGU